AAAGUAAAUUUAAAAAAUAACCGUUUUGUUCAGAGAUUACUAGAUCUCUUAUGUAGAGCAGACCAUUUGAACAAAAUUAAAGUCUUGAGAAAGAGGUGAAAACUGGAUUUUACUACAGUCCUUUCAAAGAGUCAGUAUCACCAGCUGACUCUCCUGAACCUCCAGUGUGUUUUGAGCUGAUGGCAGAAAGCUGGGGUUCAAGGAGAGUCUUGGCAGCGAGAAGAGGGUUUGUCAGAACAAUGAGAAGGUUGAGGCUGGGUUGCCAGCACCAGUGGGAUCACUUGGGCCAAGGGCAGCAAAGACAGAGGGCGCCCGUGGGGCCGGUUGGGUAUGAGCUGCCGUGUGGCUCAGUUUCCCCCAAAAGACACACGUUUACCUGGGCCCCUGCCUGGGUCACGUUGGUCUCAGGUGAGAUCCUGCAAUCCGAUAAGAGCUUGUUUACAACAGCAGGUGGUCAUGUUUACCUGGGCCCCUGCCUGGGUCACAUGGUCCCUGCUGUGAAGGACUCUUCGUCUGUUGGUUCCACCGCCUACCCGGUUCCGUAUCCCGCGGUGGCACACAGGUCCCGCCCUCUCCGUGCUCCUGCUCCAGAUCCUUCCGUACCCCUCUGUCCGUCUCUGCCCUCCCUGCAUGUCCAAGCGGCAGCCCCCUUUCCGGACGAGUCAUCCCAAACCUCCAUCAGAAUAAAGAAGUAGAACAAAGCUCUCGUCGUGCUGUUUCAGCUGCUCAGAUGGGAAGACGCCCUUUUUUGUUCAUCCUUACGACGUCUAAGGGCACACUUUGUCUUCUCAACGAGGCGGGGAGCUGGCGGUCUCAGGAGGAACAGUUGCGGAGAAGGGCUGAGGGCUGAGCAGGACGGUCCCAGCACGGCAUCCUGUCUCAGGUCCCACCGCUGGAGCCGCACGCGUUGCUGGCCUGGUUCAAGAAGCCAUUCCAAAGACACCAUUCCACAGAAAGGAAAAUCAGGUGAAGGGUGAGUCUCGAAUCUCUUGAAUCUGAAUCUAUCCCGUGGCCUCCUCAUCUUUCCCAGUUUGGAGAGUACUCUACAGAAAUUGCAAAGCGUUGCCACCGAAAUGGAGCUGAUUCAGCGCCGUUGGAGGAAACAGUAGCAACAUCACGUUGAAGGAGCUUCGUGGUUUUGUGGCUGAUCUAUGCUUAUUUCUUUGAGGCUUUCUGAAAUAAGUAUUGUAGACAAAGCUCUUUAUUCUGUUCUUUCAAUGGCUGGAAAACUAUUCAGCCCUAAAACGGUUCUUAAUGCUUUGGCGAGAGGUCAUUCCAGAUACAGCUGACCUUGAACGAUGCGGGGGUCAGGAGCGCCAAAAACGCUCCCCUACCCGCUGCAGUUGAAAAUCCCCAUGUAACUUUUGACCGCCCCCCCCCCUCCAAACUUAACU